GAUACAUUAUUGCCAAGACAUCAGCGCCACACACACCCCCAUCAAAUCCGUCCAACCUCAUCCUGUCUCCUCUCAGAUCUCGGUGGCUGCUCCAUUCUCGGUGCCUGAUUAAGCACAAGGGCGAUCCGGUAUGAGGGAGCGCCAUGGGAGAACCCAGCCCGCGCGAGUAUCCAUGGAGGCGGCUGGCGGGAGAGAUCGUCCUAGCAAGGUGGAUCUAGCGUCCCAUCGUAGAUGUUGGGAUAUUAGG